rnacentral:rRNA from 1 species
UACAGAGGUCCCAAGCGUUGUUCGGAUUCACUGGGCGUAAAGGGUGCGUAGGUGGUGAGGAAAGUCGGAUGUGAAAUCUCCGGGCUUAACCCGGAAACUGCAUUGGAAACUACCUUGCUAGAGGUUUUGAGGGGGGACUGGAAUUCUCGGUGUAGCAGUGAAAUGCGUAGAUAUCGAGAGGAACACCAGUGGCGAAGGCGAGUCCCUGGAAAACUCCUGACACUGAGGCACGAAAGCUAGGGGAGCAAACAGG